AGCCAGCAGGUUCAUGGACCACUCGACUCAGCAAACAGAAGAACAGGAGAAGGAAGGAAAAAAUAUGUCGUGCUAGUGACUAGGUACCGUAGUGACAGGAAAUGUUCGUGAUUUUAAUUUCGUGACGGCAUCACGAAAUUAUGUCACAUAUAAAUUACAAGCUGUUCCAGGCGACGGUCGUCACGAAUAUAUGUGUGCUCCGAAGCCAAAUCGUAUAAUGUCUUCAACACAGUAAUUACUCGUCGAAUUCCACUUUUCUGGCCAUAUAUACAUCCAUAGUAAUUGAACGGACAUGGAUCCGAGGGCCAAGCGGCCUAAGCAACAAAGCCUCCUUCAAUGCGGACGCUUCACACUUGCUCGCGGCGCCCAGCUACGGAUAGAGCUGGUUUUGCCGCUCCUAAAUAACCGUGCAUGCAUUGGCCAGCUUUUGCGUCAAUCGGCGUUCUGAGUCGGACCCAUUAACGAAUAUUGCAGGCACCGUUGCUUCGGUUGCGUUGGCUUCUGACGAAUUCAAAAGUUUCCCCAAUAAUUUCGGGUGUAAUUUUGAGGGUGUCUCGAACAAUAAAAUCACGAACAUUUCCUGUCACUACGGUAUACAACUAGGCAGAUGCAUCGUUAUGCGUUAUGAGGCGCAUUCGCAAGCCAACGCUGGUCGCCCAACGCCAAGAUAGCUGACAUGUUCCCAGUAGGUGUACCAUUCGCCUGCUGUAGGUCCUGAGGAAUAACGUCGUAGGCAGGACACUCCAUAAACACGUUAUGCUCGUCCUCAACCGCACCAAAGCGACACACGGGGCAAACCCGAUCUGCCCUCACCCUACCAAUGGGGCGGUUGUGUCACGCCAAAACAUCUGGAGCGCACAAAUCAUGUGCCACGACCGAGUUAGCCGCUAUCCGCAGGUGGCCAAGCCAACCGAAGGUAGUAAGGCGAACCGCGUGUUGAUUUAUUUGAGACUUUGGGUAGCGUAUGAGGCGCUUUCCGUUGUGAUUUGAGGAUGUUAGGUUGUCGUUCAUCUGUCGUUAGUCGGAUGAGCGUUACGCAUCCAGGGUAGGGCCGGGUGUGAUAAGGCCCGGCGUGGAUCAGUCGGUACUUCGCCAUAAAUGCGAGUGCGAAGAGGCCAAACAUUUGUCGUUUGGCUCUCGAAGCAACUCUUCGUGAGCGUAUAGACUAUUAUAUUAUUGAAGAUAAUAUAAUCAUAGGAGGGUUGAUAGGACUGUUUUGGUGUAACAAGACUGCAAUCCUACCCUACCUCGACACGCGCAUCAGAGCAGGAUAGACAGAGAGUGUACACACAGCAUUCCAUAAGGUCCGCCCUUAGUGCUCAUACCUCUAGGCUCGACAGGGAUCCGUUCCCAGCCCGUCCUCGCCUACUGCGAUCGCGCAAAUCAAGUUAACGAAGCUGGAGUGAGCCAGCCAAGUCAAGCCGGAGCUUUAAGGAGAGCUCCUAUUGUAUAAUCAUCUCAUUUACCCACAGCCAAACGACGGAGAAGGUCGGCGAGUCGUCCUGAAGUAGGCGGCCGUAAGAAGUAAGGAAUCGGGCGCCAGUACCCCGAGUUUAUUGUGCAGCUAUUGUUGAAAGCGAUCCGUCGCUGUAUAUUCUUCAAGUGCUAUCACUCAUCUAUUGAGCUAGGCUUUUUCGCGUCCGCGCACCAAGCCAACACAGCUCCUCAGCCUUCCGAGGCAUAUCGAAUACACUGAACUGUUUACUGAGAAUCCUCACGCAGUCAGUUCAAGUCAACGAAAUUGUUUAUUCUUUUGCUACCCGUCCCUCUGUGGAGAGCCAUUCACCUCACGCGUACGCCUGGUCUUCAUUCAGCUUCCGAGGUGUUAAUCGUUAAGCAGCCCCUCGCACAAAUGUGUCCGGUCGUACUUCGCGAAUAAAGCCUAAGUACACUCGUCCCAAAAAAGCCAGGAGCGAAUUUUGCCGCGCAGAUGCGCGCGUGCUAUUCUCAAAAUGCGCCUGUACAAGUGUAUAUAAACUUUUUUGGCGGAUGAGGACCAGGUGCGCCAGCGCGUUGCGCAGGUGGGCAUGUUGGCCAUAGCCGCACGCUGGACUAUUGCGUGGAUGCUUUGCAGUAAAUAAAAGCACCGAAAGCCAACGUCGUAGCUUGCAACUCUGGGCUCGUGAAACUGCCGCGGAAGAUGAAGCGCUGGCGAAGAGGCAGUUGUAUGCAGCACCUUAUUCAGAGUAAAGUCAAAUUACAAAGUUGCGCAAAGUAUAACAUACAUAAACUUAAUUAAACAUAAGAACAGAUAAGACGUUUAGAGCGUUGUCGGUGACAUGGACGCCGCUGUUGGCUUGGAACAGCUAUUUGCUGUGCAUAGGGACGUGCCCGCGUUAGCCGUGUUGCAACACCUCAGGAUGGAUUUCAGCCAGCAACAGCCUCAAUAGCUGCUGCACAACCACCGGGAAUGUCUUCAGUUGGGCACGUGUAGCUUUGGUCGGCGGGGUCGAGCAACAUACGCAAUGCGCACAGAAACCAAGGUGCAGCGUUCUGUAACAUCGCCAACAUAUCCGGUACGCGGUGGCAGGCUUGCCGAGCACGAAAUGAAGGGGGGGUCGCAUCUCACCAUUCAACUAAGCAUGCAUGUGAUCGGUUGAAUGCUCGGUAGCGUGCGAGUUUACCCCUAUCAGGAUGUUUGUUUGCAUAUCCCUCCAAGCGAGAGGGCUUGCACCUAUGCUGAUGUUCGUUCCAAGAAGUGAACUGAGGACUGAUGCUACGGUGAAAGAUUUGCACGUAAAUUCGCCCGUGCAAUAAAACGCCCUGUAACUCGCUUACGCUAAU
rnacentral:lncRNA from 1 species